rnacentral:lncRNA from 1 species
AUAUGAUCUCAGUGAAAUGUGCAAACAAUCACUGUGCGAAUAGUUGGAAGGCAAAAGGAAUUGCUGGGAUUCUGGGAGAAAGCAGGAUGCAAGGCUUGAUUUCUUUGUUGUGUGUGGAUUUGUGCAUAAAUGUCCACUACAAAUUUGCUGUUUGCUCUCAUUUAAAGUUAUUUUGGAAAAGCCUCCUCGGGCUUAUGGGUGAGAUGGUUUGACAACAAGCGUUCAAAUGCUCUGCUAUGUGAAGGACAGGUCUCAAUUCUGCUCCUUCAGCUUCAGUGACAGCUGAUUUGUCCACUGCGCAAUGCUCUUCAAAUUCUCCUUUUCUGUAUGCGGGGUCUAAGGAGAGAAGGUUAAUAUAUUUUUCUGCAAUAAGAUUAGAUUUGGCUUGCAAGCGAUGUGCUGAGAUAGGCCACAUUUUAAAUAUUUGUAAAUGGUUUGACUUUUGGUUUAAUUCAGCUGUCUCUGACUUUCUGAGUAUGUUCCUCUGCUAAAAAUGGGGUGGGGAGAGAGGAACAGUUCAACUGUGAGCUAUUCUUCAGAAAACUGGAUGUUUUGCCAUCCCACCAAUGUCAUCUGGCAUUAAUUAACAUAGCAUCUUGCUAAUUACAUUGUCAGCAUACAGCCACUAAAUUCAAAUACAAAGAGAAUUGUUAAAAUGUCCCGAUUUAACUCUGGUAUUUCUUUUAAAGCAUCAUUCUUCAAGUUUUGUGUAUAUGGGACAUCAUCCAAAGCCAAUGAAGUUAAUGGGCUUUCUUCGGAUUUGGCCCAAAAACACUUGGAAAAAUCAGCGUUGUGUCCAAACUGCCUCUCUAAAUCAAGCACUUAGGUACUUAGCUCCUAUUGUUGGUGCAGCACAUCACCCAGGACACCCUGAUAUGCAGCUCUGUGGACCUGAUCUGUCUCCUAUGGGACUGAGGACAACAUGUGAAGGGGAAAGAGAGAGCUUGCAUGUUGCUACAAUCUGUGUCUUUUGUGUUGUGUGAGGGCUGGCUGCUCGGUGAUGCUCUCCUGAUGAAUUUUGUGACUCCUUCUUGAGUUGGGGAGAUCUGGGGAGAAGGAUGAGUGCCUGAUCAGAUCCUGUACUUUGCCCAAAGCAAAACAGUUAGAGUCAGCAAAAAUCUCUCCUACUUAAAGCGCUGUGCCAGCAGUGAAGGGAUUCUACAUGUGUGGCUGAGCCAGGGCAGGAGCCACACUGGAGCCAAACACUGGAUUAAUCCUGCCUUUUAACAGAACCUGGAGCGCAGUCCUGCUCUCAGGAAAUGGCAGUUCUGUCACCUGUACAUGUCUCGCUCUGCGUUAGCUUCACCUUCCCUUCAGCAUCGCUGGCCUUCACUCACUGGCCUUCACACACAUCCCUGAGUAUUAUUAAAA